UGGGGAAUUUUGGACAAUGGGCGCAAGCCUGAUCCAGCCAUGCCGCGUGCGGGAAGAAGGCCUUCGGGUUGUAAACCGCUUUUGUCAGGGAAGAAAUCUUCUGAGUUAAUACCUCGGGAGGAUGACGGUACCUGAAGAAUAAGCACCGGCUAACUACGUGCCAGCAGCCGCGGUAAUACGUAGGGUGCAAGCGUUAAUCGGAAUUACUGGGCGUAAAGCGUGCGCAGGCGGUUUUGUAAGACAGAGGUGAAAUCCCCGGGCUCAACCUGGGAACUGCCUUUGUGACUGCAAGGCUUGAGUGCGGCAGAGGGGGAUGGAAUUCCGCGUGUAGCAGUGAAAUGCGUGGAUAUGCGGAGGAACACCGAUGGCGAAGGCAAUCCCCUGGGCCUGCACUGACGCUCAUGCACGAAAGCGUGGGGAGCAAACAGGAUUAGAUACCCUGGUAGUCCACGCCCUAAAGCGAUGUCAACUGGUUGUUGGGAAGGUUCCUUCUCAGUAACGUAGCUAAACGCGUGAAGUUGGACCGCCUGGGGAGUACGGCCGCAAGGUUGAAACUC
rnacentral:rRNA from 1 species